rnacentral:rRNA from 1 species
AAAUUGAAGAGUUUGAUCAUGGCUCAGAUUGAACGCUGGCGGCAGGCCUAACACAUGCAAGUCGAACGGUAACAGGAAGCAGCUUGCUGCUUCGCUGACGAGUGGCGGACGGGUGAGUAAUGUCUGGGAAACUGCCUGAUGGAGGGGGAUAACUACUGGAAACGGUGGCUAAUACCGCAUAACGUCGCAAGACCAAAGAGGGGGACCUUCGGGCCUCUUGCCAUCAGAUGUGCCCAGAUGGGAUUAGCUAGUUGGUGAGGUAACGGCUCACCAAGGCGACGAUCCCUAGCUGGUCUGAGAGGAUGACCAGCCACACUGGAACUGAGACACGGUCCAGACUCCUACGGGAGGCAGCAGUGGGGAAUAUUGCACAAUGGGCGCAAGCCUGAUGCAGCCAUGCCGCGUGUAUGAAGAAGGCCUUCGGGUUGUAAAGUACUUUCAGCGGGGAGGAAGGUGUUGUGGUUAAUAACCACAGCAAUUGACGUUACCCGCAGAAGAAGCACCGGCUAACUCCGUGCCAGCAGCCGCGGUAAUACGGAGGGUGCAAGCGUUAAUCGGAAUUACUGGGCGUAAAGCGCACGCAGGCGGUCUGUCAAGUCGGAUGUGAAAUCCCCGGGCUCAACCUGGGAACUGCAUUCGAAACUGGCAGGCUUGAGUCUUGUAGAGGGGGGUAGAAUUCCAGGUGUAGCGGUGAAAUGCGUAGAGAUCUGGAGGAAUACCGGUGGCGAAGGCGGCCCCCUGGACAAAGACUGACGCUCAGGUGCGAAAGCGUGGGGAGCAAACAGGAUUAGAUACCCUGGUAGUCCACGCCGUAAACGAUGUCUACUUGGAGGUUGUGCCCUUGAGGCGUGGCUUCCGGAGCUAACGCGUUAAGUAGACCGCCUGGGGAGUACGGCCGCAAGGUUAAAACUCAAAUGAAUUGACGGGGGCCCGCACAAGCGGUGGAGCAUGUGGUUUAAUUCGAUGCAACGCGAAGAACCUUACCUGGUCUUGACAUCCACAGAACUUUCCAGAGAUGGACUGGUGCCUUCGGGAACUGUGAGACAGGUGCUGCAUGGCUGUCGUCAGCUCGUGUUGUGAAAUGUUGGGUUAAGUCCCGCAACGAGCGCAACCCUUAUC